rnacentral:rRNA from 1 species
UACGAAGGGGGCUAGCGUUGCUCGGAAUCACUGGGCGUAAAGCGCACGUAGGCGGAUUGUUAAGUCAGGGGUGAAAUCCUGGAGCUCAACUCCAGAACUGCCUUUGAUACUGGGGAUCUCGAGUCCGGAAGAGGUGAGUGGAACUCCGAGUGUAGAGGUGAAAUGCGCAGAUAUCGGGAGGAACACCAAUGGCGAAGGCAGCUCGCUGGGACGGUACUGACGCUGAGACGCGAAAGCGUGGGGAGCAAACAGG